AUCCCUCCUGUCACCCAUGCACUCAAUGGACACCUGCCUCGGCCAAGCGAACACGCACGGAAGGGGGGAUCUUGCAGACCCGCUCCUUAUCCUGUUACGAGAGCCCGACCUGCAGUAAUGAGAACGAUCAUCGACCAGCCGAUAAAGCAACACGAAGGCUCAAGUUCUGGGAGCUGCCAUGUAGUCAGAUGUGCCAAACCUGCCAGGGGAACUUUGAUACCGUGAACCAUAACAGAA